AUUGCGAUGGGGGGACGGAGAAGGCUAGGUGGGCCAGGCGACGGUUGUCCUGGUGAAAGUGCGUAGGUGGUGUUUCUAGGCAAAUCCGGAGACACAACACUGAGACACGAGACGAAGCCACUACGGUGGUGAAGCCAUUGAUGCCCUGCUUCCAGGAAAAGCCUCUAAGCUUCAGAUUACAAGUCAUCGUACCCCAAACCGACACAGGUGGUCGGGUAGAGAAUACCAAGGCGCUUGAGAGAACUC
rnacentral:rRNA from 1 species